rnacentral:lncRNA from 1 species
CCCUUCUCGUGAAAAGAAGGGGGCUUCUUGCAUCUUUUUCCUUUCCUUUGUAGGUACUACUUUCCUUUAUACUGUGAUGUAUCUCAAGGUCUAAAGUAGCUCAGAUUGAUCUGUAGAGCAAGCUGAUGAGUCAAUUUGUCUGUAUAAGCAAAGAUAAGUCUUAAGCAUCUUGCGUAGGGAUGUUUUUAAUGUGGUGGUGACACCACUGUUUGAAUGUGUGGAUGGCGAAGGGAAGAAAACGCUGAUAACUUGGCUGAUUUCUUCCUUGGAGCCUAUAUACAGUUAUUUUAAGGUCCUGGAGCAUACAAUUCCGUGAUGAAGUCAGAUUCCCACAUAUCUGCAUUUGACUCCAAAGUGGAGUGUUUUAACGAACCAGAAGAGACCAUCCCUGGCCCUGGAGCAUACCAGGACCUUUUAAUAUCAUAAAUGAAGACUGCAAAAUGCCUUCAGACAGAAGGUGAAGAAAGACAUGGAGCUCAGCUCUGAGGUGCUAAAGAUGACUGGGAAGCUGGCUAUA